CAAAAAAUAGUUUAGUGUAGAAUACUAAUUUUGGGGAUUAGAGGUGUGUAAAUAUUUACAUUUUUUUGA
rnacentral:tRNA from 1 species